UAUGUGACGCGGGGCAGAUGGCGAGAAAACCUACGAAUAUUGUUUAUUUGAGUACUCCACGCCGCGAAACGGUAUACGUAACUGUCAAAACUGUUCAAAAAAAAUCAAACGUCGGAGAAAUUAUCAAAACAAUUUCUCUCGCAAUCGAGUAUAGCUAUAAAUAUCGUAUUUAUACAUGUACGCGCGAGAGAAAUGUAACCAAACGGAAUUAAUGAUAAUUAUGGAAAUAAAUUUCAAAUUAGUACAAUUAGAAUUUCGAGGGUUGAAGGUAGGCGGAUGGGGGCCGGGAAAGUUGAACGAUUUGAGUGAUAGUUGAAAGACGAUUAUAACGGGGAGGGUUGCAUCAGCCGAUAACAAUCCUACGGAAUGGUGAGAGUUUUCAGGCCACAUAAGUGAGUGUUAAUUUAAUCGAGGAUAUCUUAGAACCGGUUGGCUUGUCGCCAGAAGGAUGUAGAGCAGUGUGAUAUAAUUUCACCAUUUGCAUAAGGGUACAUAUCCUGCAGGCGCCUCAAACGAGUCUCUUCGUGUAAUCAUUUUGAAAAGGAGUGCGCACUCGUCGGAAGGUAAUUUCACAUUGUGGAGUGAUAAUGAAUGCAAUUGACCGAUGAAAAACUUCACUUCCUGCUUUGACCUACUAUCAAAGUUCCGCUGUCACUUUUUCUGCGAUAUAAUUCUAUUCGCUACAGCUGCAAAGCAGCGAAAAUUUAUUCGCUAAUUGUAGUAGUUACUGGCAAAUAAAAGGGUCGUACAGCUGACAGCUACUAAGCCCUGCACAUUACUGCAGGAUAAUUUCCGCAAGGUCGCGGUUGGAUCUAGCGUCAAGACGCCGGCGAAUGAAAAAUGAAAAGAAUGUUAUCGCAAAAUCACGAUCGGUUUCGCAAAGUUUCUUUCGGCAUUGGCACUUGGCACCUGACACGGGGAGUGCCACGUUGGUGAUCGCUGUUUGGACAGAUUAAGUUUGCAUCGAGUGAAUGCAUGUACGUGACUCACUACUCAUGUAUGUGGCCGAAGUUGGCAGGCGUCUCAACUAUUUGGAAUGGUAACAACCGUACAGAAGUCGCGAGUGCAGGACCCAGAGUCGACCGUACGGCACAAUAUACCUGCUUCGCAUCAUCCCAUGCAAUUCGGAAUAUGAUCCUGAGAUCAGUGCGAAACGGCGCGACGUCACGGGGAAGACCAAGGAGAUGUUAGGAGCGGUUUUUAACGCUUUUUACCUCGCUUUAGACUCGCGAUGCAAGGAGUACCCUUGAUUGGCAUAAUUCAAAUGCUGAUGGACAUCGAGGGUGCUUCGCCCCUCGACUCGAGUUCAACCUCAUGUUUAAUCUCUCUAUCUAUAUUUGAGGAAGGAAGUGUAAGGGGAAAGGGAGCUUGAUUUUUUCUUAAAUACACAACCGAAAUUGUACGCGUCUUUCAAUCUAAUUUUGGAACUUGAAGUGGUCUUAUUUUCGAAGUGAAAGCACAGGCGGGCUAGACGAGAAAAAUUUCAAACGUCUAACGUCUUCGAAGCACGUGACCGUUGUGCAACGUGAAUUUUGAAAAUCUCGAAAGUCGGGGAGCAAGAAAACAGGUGAAAAAUUUAAUUCAUCGCAUCGUCUCUUGACAAAUCAUUGUUAUUGUUUUCCCUGUAUAGAUGUGUAGAACCGAAACGAUACGAUGUGUAUAUGGGGCGUAACAUUUGACUGGUUUUGGCGCAUCGCCAUCUUCGCCGGUAAAUCCCCAAACGAAUAUCCGGUUAGCGAUGUAGAUGUAGGUAGCUGAGUACACCGUGAGAUAUACAUUGAGCUAGAGCUACACGCGAACGGGAAUGUAGCGCGUCAAAUUCCACGGAUCAUUCCAUAAUUCAAAGCUUAUGGUCUUCGAUAUAACGAGAUAGUAAAAGCGGAGAGAAAAAAUUCCACGUUUUCUUUUCACACCCCGUACAGAAUUUAUUCAUCUCGCAAUUUUUUGUCUCAUUACGAGACUCCCGUAAAAGUUAGUACCGCGGACGGAUCCGUGCCGCGGUGGCUAUAAAUCCGUUGAAAAGCGCGAAGAUUGCGGAUGAGUGAAAUAAACGAGCCGACGUGCAGCGUGGUCGGAGAAACGGAAGUGGCUGUAACUUGGAAAACAAUUGAUUCACCCCAAACCAGUGCUACUCGGCUCCUCUUUUAUCCCAACCAAUAGCCCUUUCUCCAUCCCGCGGCCUCCACUUUGACCGUAUUGCAGGGGCUCCGCUACGGGGUAAAAUUUAUUUCCCAAUACGGAGUUUGCGCCAACCGGCGAUAUAUUUAUACGCUAUUCUAUACGGGAUAGUUCUCGGCUCAGCGUUAAAUAUAUACCUAUAUACACCCUGGUACUAGCUAUAAGCUCCAGGACUCGAGAUUCUGGAGAUUUUGGUGUUCCUUCGUCCGCGAAUACCGGACUCUGAUUCACAGAGACAUUUUUACGGGGGCAAUCUGUCGGUGAAAACGUACGUAUUAUAGGAUCCUUUGCCCCUUUUUUUAUAUCGAAGAAAAGUAGCUGCCAGAGCUUUGUUUCCCCGUUGCAUACAGGGUCAACCAACUUCGCGUUUUCAUCCAGAAAUCAAAGAGGCCAACUAUUUUCUACGUUCUACUUUUAUUUUAUUGUAUUUUCCAUGUUUUGUUUUGUUUUUUUCACGCUCCGACUCGCGAUGGAAGUACGGUCGAAGGCCCCUUGGCUUCAAACGUUUGUCGCGCUAUACCUCCGUACACACGUAUAGCUGCUGCGACGAACAUAUCGAUAGAUAUAGCCUUCGCCGGAGGAGCCGUUUGAGGACUCGCGAACGGAAGUUCUCGGUCGCGGAACGAGAAAAAUAGAAAAGAAGAAAAGAAUAACGUAAAAGGGUUCCAAUUCAACUCCUGCGUCAAGCGCGAACAAAGAGAGGUGUACAACCGUUUUCAACUUGCAAGAGGAAAAGGAAAAACAAUUAUUCCUCUUUACUUUAUGCCACCCCGUUCUUACACCGUUCACACUUAUUGCAAAUUUCACUCUCUCCUAUGCGAACUCUCUCUUAUCGAGAACUCCGUGUAACGAAUUUAUGCCACGACGUAUUCGAGACUGGAGGAUCACUUAAACGCGGUAAGCUAAUCUAAUCUGGGGUGGAAACCUGUUGCAGAGACUAAAGGCAUAAUGUAAUGUAACCUUUCUCCAAGCCUGAUAUGCGGAUUAAAAUAUGAAUACGAUUAAAAAUGGAAAUUAAUUAAUACUUACGUAGUAGGGAAAACGAAACUUUUUUACGCCCGCCUAAUGAAGUUAUAAUACAAUUAUGUUACUAAUCAAAUUCUGCAGAUUUUGAACGUAGGCACUUGAAAUUAUUGGGUACAAUGGUACAAUUGUUUCGACAAAUUAUACGAUUAUAACAGAUUGUGAGCUGAAUUUAGUUCAGAUUUUCAAGCAUAAGUUCGAGUAUCGAAUAUAUUUCACCACCCGGCCAUCGGAAAUAUUACUGAAUUUAUUUUGAAAUUGGAAAUUUUUUCACUUCUUGUUUUUUCUUUUUCACGUUAUUUGUUCAGUGUGUCCCUCCGGAACGACGUCAAUUUUUAUGCAGUUUAAUUCAUACAUUACACUACUGCACACGGUCGACGUAUUCGUCAAUUUUUUACAACCGCACUCGCACGAAUUAACUAAAACAAAUAUCUGUACGCAAAACUCGUUACCAAAAGUAAUUAAUUCGACUACAUAUGAAUUCAGAAAUACUCCGCAUGAAUUAAAGUAUCCCUUUGAAAUAGUGCGGUGAGCGAGGAGUUGGAUAUUUUUAAAUAUGUAAGUCAAUUAAAAUCCGGCUUUUGCGAUUAACAAUUUUCAGUUACUUAAUUACGAAGUGAUUAUAAGAUUUUGACGACGAGUCUUCGCAUGGAAACAUGAGGUAGAGUAAGAUAGGAGGUGAUAAAAACUUUAACCCAAGCGGAGAUGACUGCCGAAGACAAAAUGAAGAUAUCAGUAAUUUACGGGAAAUUUCAUACUCAAGCUCUCUGGAUUAGGAGUAAGCCUAGGACUGUAUUAAGUCGAGAAGUGAGGGCGCGUUUCGAGAGCAAAACUUAAUCUACCCAAGAAGUUGUGUAAAUCAUAAAGGCCCAGAUAUUUUACGAACAAAUGUAGAAUCUGUUAAAAAUACCGAUGAAGAAUUAUAAAACCGUAAUGCGUUGAUUCUGUAAAAUUGUCAUCUUCGAUGAAUGAAAGUUUUCAAUAUUUUUCAAAA